UGGGGUGGAGCGUGAUUAGUUAGGCGGUUCAUUUACAUUGAAAAUAUAUCCGUGCGAGUCGGAUCACCCCAA
rnacentral:tRNA from 1 species